rnacentral:rRNA from 1 species
AGAACGAACGUUAGCGGCGCGCCUAACACAUGCAAGUCGAGCGGAAAGGCCCUUCGGGGUACUCGAGCGGCGAACGGGUGAGUAACACGUGAGCAACCUGCCCUUGGCUCUGGGAUAGCCUCCGGAAACGGGGAUUAAAUACCGGACAUUCACUUUCUCCUGCAUGGGGGUUGGUGGAAAGUUUUUCGGCCAGGGAGGGGCUCGCGGCCUAUCAGCUUGUUGGCGGGGUAACGGCCCACCAAGGCGACGACGGGUAGCCGGCCUGAGAGGGCGAUCGGCCACACUGGGACUGAGACACGGCCCAGACUCCUACGGGAGGCAGCAGUGGGGAAUAUGCACAAUGGGCGCAAGCCUGAUGCAGCGACGCCGCGUGGGGGAUGAAGGCCUUCGGGUUGUAAACCCCUUUCACCAGGAGCGAAUUCAGACGGUACCUGGGAAGAAGCGCCGGCUAACUACGUGCCAGCAGCCGC